rnacentral:rRNA from 14 species
GUAAAAGGAUAUUUUCUAGUUUAGACUUUGUUUUAGUUGGCUUAGAAACAGCCAUCAAUUUUUGAUAACGUAACAGUUCACAUGCUCAGGCUAAAAAGUACCGAAAAUAUAUUGAAACUCAAGUUUUACCGAAAAGGCAUAACAAUUUUGUUGGUAGCGGAAUUUUCUGUGGAAAGGCAUAGUUUUCGUGAGAAAAUUAGAUCUAAACAGAAGUAAUAAUGUCGAAAUGAGUAACAUAAAAGAUUACAAAAUCUUUCACCAAACAUCGUAGGUUUUCUACGUUAAAUUAUUUUUCGUAGAGUUAUUCGAACUCUUAUCUAUAGGCGAAAGCUGAUUAGAGAUGAGAUAAGUUGAUAUUUCUUUAUUUUUUAAAUAUAAGACAAAGAAAAGAAAUAUAAGUCUUAAUGAAAAGUGGGUUUAUUCAUGAAUGCGAGUAUUUCUUCAGGAAAAUCAAAUCGUCUAGUUCGUACUUAAACCGAAACAGGUAGAUGUUUAAAAAGGUGUAAAAAUUAUAUAGAGAUAUGGAACUCGGCAAAUUUUUUCUGUAACUUAGGGAGAAAGAAAAACAAUAAAUGAUACAUUUGUUGUUAUCAUAUUAAGGAACUUGCGACUAUUUACUAAAAAUACAAGAUUAUGCGUAAUUAUAUAAAAAAGUAUAUAAUCUGAUUAGUGCUCAAUGCCUGGAAACUAAAAAAAAGUUGUGCAAGCUUCUUUAUAAGGUCAGGUGAAUAGCGGCUUUAUCCUGAGAGUCGUAAUGUAGCGAAAUUCCUUGUCCGAUAAAUACGGUCCCGCAUGAAUCUAAUAACGACACGUUCACUGUCAUAUCUCUAAAAUUUUGUGAAAUUGAAUUUGGUGUGAAGAUGCACCAUUGCCUUGCUAAGACGAAAAGACCCCAUGCACCUUUACUGCACACAAUUAUUGUAGAAGCUUUUUUUAUUGUUCAGAAUAAAAAGUAGUUUAUGAAAUUUAUGAAAAAAUUAAUUUUUCAAAAUUAAGCAUCUUUGAGAUACUUUUCUUGAGUGGGCUGAUACUAAAUUCUAAAAGAAGACAAUUUUUGUUUGGUAGUUUUUUUGGGGCGAAAUUCUUUUAAAAAGUAACAAAGAAGUACAAAAGGUAAACUCAGGUAAAAAAUUUUAUCUUUGAGCGUAAAAGCAAAUGUUUGCUUAACUGUAAGACGGAUAUGUCACACAGAAACGUAAGUUGGUUUUAGUGACCUCACUUUUCUGAUUAAAAAGGAAGUGAUUCAUCAGAUAAAAGGUACGCUGGGGAUAACAGAAUAAUAAAAAUCAAGCGUUCAAAGCGACGUUUUUGUUUGUGACCUCGAUGUCGACUUGUGGCAACCUUGAUGCGAAGAAGUUUCAAAGGGUUUGACUGUUCGUCAAUUAAAGCCGUACAUGAGUUGGGUUUAGAACGAUGUGAAUCAGUUUGGUUUCUAUCUAGCAAGGCCAAUAAAAACUGAGAGUUCACUCUUUAGUAUGAGAAGAAUAAGAGUGGAAAGCCUAUGGUCAUUAGCUAUUUUACCAAAGGUAAGCUAAUUCGCUACGCUUUAAGAGAUAAAAAAUGAAAGCAUCUAUUUUGUUGAAACUCCUCUCAAGACAAGUUUUUGUUUAGCACGAAACAAUGUGUUAUUAUGUUUUGGUUGAAAAACACAACCUUGUUCGGCGAUCGGUUUUUAGGCUGUAAGGUCU